rnacentral:rRNA from 1 species
GACGAAGGGGGCUAGCGUUGUUCGGAAUUACUGGGCGUAAAGCGCGUGUAGGCGGUUGCCCAAGUCGGGUGUGAAAGCCUUGAGCUCAACUCAAGAAAUGCACUCGGUACUGGGUGACUAGAGGACCGGAGAGGAUAGUGGAAUUCCCAGUGUAGUGGUGAAAUAACGUAGAGAUUGGGAAGAACACCAGUGGCGAAGGCGGCUAUCUGGACGGUUUCUGACGCUAAGACGCGAAAGCGUGGGGAGCAACAGGA